UUGAAGUUCAGGUAAAACAAUAGUAACUAGUUUCGUUUAUUUGAACCAGAUUGAACACUAAACUAGAGAAAAUGUCUCUUUGUUUUACAGUUAUCCUAUGGAUGGCUGAUUACAUAUGGCAUCACAACGCUGUUUCCAGCAGGAAGAGCCGGAACGUGUGGAGUUUGGUCCAGUUCUCUGAUCUCAGAUCCAGACAAACACAAAGACUCCAUUGAUCGAAGCCAAAGGUGUCCUUGUUGAUUUCAUCUCCAUUGUGUGUUGAACCUCCAUUAGGAUGUUGUGGGACGUUCCAUGUAUCUUCUCCGUGGCCUGGCUGGGUGUUGACGAAAUGGUCUGUUGUAAAUAAAUGAUGAGCAGAUCUGUUUACAGACACGUACAAAAGCUUGAAGACAUUCCCAGGGUGUAGGAUACCCUGCCCGCAGGCCUUCACCAUUCAUUCUGCAGCUUUUCUGUGAACAGAGGGAGAGAAAAAGAGAUCAAAAAGAGAAGAAUUGAUUGUUGGUGAAGUUCAUGACCUCCUGACUGUGGCCCAGUGAUUCACUGCGUGUCCUGGAGUUCAUCGGCUGCGUUUGGCUCCCACUCUACACAACUCCAGAUCUUCAUUCAUCAGGGGAGCCGCGGCAGGAGCGCGGCACGACGUUCCCGACAUCCUCAUCUCUCCCUUUCCUCUUUGUUCCCCAUCUGCUGUGGCUCAAGGCAAAUGAGGAGAUCGGUGGCUUUUGGGUGGACCGUACACUCAGCUCGAUCGCGGCCGGCUGUGUGAGAUGGAGAGAGGGAGGGAAUCACGAGGUGACGGUGAUUAGCUUUGAGUGUUGAGUUUGGAUGGAGCUCCCAUUUUUCUCUUUUUGCAAUCCAAACGUGGACCUCCAACCAUGUUCAUGGUGUUAAUAAAUGCAGCGUCCGGACGGCCACUCGGCCACCAGACACAGGCCCCUUUCACCUGCCCUGCGGGACGUGCCAUCUUUCCGAUAGACAGAAAAUAAACAGCAGCCUUGCAGGCGUUGAGAGACUGACAAAUGGCCCUCCAAAUUGAAAAGCAAUGAAAUAAAUGUUGGCGCCUGCAGCAGCUUGAGCUCAUUUGGACCUGAGAGGGGUUUGAUCCAUGCCAGCACUUUGGCAAUACAUUAAUAUCGUGCCAGUACGCUUCAGAUUACUGUACGCACCAGCGUCCUUGA